UUUGACCUCGGAUCAGGUAGGGAUACCCGCUGAACUUAAGCAUAUCAAUAAGCGGAGGAAAAGAAACCAACAGGGAUUGCCCUAGUAACGGCGAGUGAAGCGGCAACAGCUCAAAUUUGAAAUCUGGCUCUUUCAGAGUCCGAGUUGUAAUUUGCAGAGGGCGCUUUGGCGUUGGCAGCGGUCCAAGUUCCUUGGAACAGGACGUCACAGAGGGUGAGAAUCCCGUACGUGGUCGCUGGCCUUCGCCGUGUAAAGCCCCUUCGACGAGUCGAGUUGUUUGGGAAUGCAGCUCUAAAUGGGAGGUAAAUUUCUUCUAAAGCUAAAUACUGGCCAGAGACCGAUAGCGCACAAGUAGAGUGAUCGAAAGAUGAAAAGCACUUUGGAAAGAGAGUCAAAUAGCACGUGAAAUUGUUGAAAGGGAAGCGCUUGCAGCCAGACUUGCCUGUAGUUGCUCAUCCGGGCUUUUGCCCGGUGCACUCUUCUGUAGGCAGGCCAGCAUCAGUUUGGACGGUUGGAUAAAGGACUCUGUCACGUACCUCCUUUCGGGGAGGCCUUAUAGGGGAGUCGUCAUGCAACCAGUCUGGACUGAGGUCCGCGCAUCUGCUAGGAUGCUGGCGUAAUGGCUGUAAGCGGCCCGUCUUGAAACACGGACCAAGGAGUCUAACAUCUAUGCGAGUGUUUGGGUGUCAAGCCCGAGCGCGUAAUGAAAGUGAACGGAGGUGGGACCCCGUAAGGGUGCACCAUCGACCGAUCCUGAUGUCUUCGGAUGGAUUUGAGUAAGAGCAUGGCUGUUGGGACCCGAAAGAUGGUGAACUAUGCUUGAAUAGGGUGAAGCCAGAGGAAACUCUGGUGGAGGCUCGCAGCGGUUCUGACGUGCAAAUCGAUCGUCAAAUUUGGGCAUAGGGGCGAAAGACUAAUCGAACUAUCUAGUAGCUGGUUCCUG
rnacentral:rRNA from 1 species